UUUCUUGUUUGGAGAUAGAAUGGUGAAAAGGGAAUCAGGUGUGAAUCCUGAACAGACCCGCUGCUGUGAGUUUCUAAAGCUCUUGACCAAUAAUGCCACUGUUCUUUACGGGAAGGCGGUCAGGGUGAAACAAGUCAGAAGACCUGCCAGAAGUGUUU
rnacentral:ncRNA from 1 species